UACGUAGGUCCCGAGCGUUGUCCAGAUUUAUUGGGCGUAAAGCGAGCGCAGGUGGUUUAUUAAGUCUGGUGUAAAAGGCAGUGGCUCAACCAUUGUAUGCAUUGGAAACAGGUAGACUUGAGUGCAGGAGAGGAGAGUGGAAUUCCAUGUGUAGCGGUGAAAUGCGUAGAUAUAUGGAGGAACACCGGUGGCGAAAGCGGCUCUCUGGCCUGUAACUGACACUGAGGCUCGAAAGCGUGGGGAGCAAACAGG
rnacentral:rRNA from 1 species